CUUUAGUACGUUUAGAGGCAUUCUGUAAUGCUGAAUGAACAGAAUCCCAAGUGUCUUGGAUAGAAGUCAAACGGGUGUUUAAUGCAGGAAUAUCAGUCCCUGAAAAUGCAGAAGGUAAAAUAGUGGGGUAAUAACCUUGAUUUACAAAAAAUUGACUCUGACUCGAGGAUUCGUGAGUCGCAUUAUUUCUGGCAAAUUCAGCCAUGGGUAAGAGUUCGAACCAAUUGGACUGAUUGGC